rnacentral:rRNA from 1 species
UACGAAGGGUGCAAGCGUUACUCGGAAUUACUGGGCGUAAAGCGUGCGUAGGUGGUUUGUUAAGUCUGUUGUGAAAGCCCCGGGCUCAACCUGGGAAUGGCAAUGGAUACUGGCAAGCUAGAGUGCGGUAGAGGGUAGUGGAAUUCCCGGUGUAGCGGUGAAAUGCGUAGAGAUCGGGAGGAACACCAGUGGCGAAGGCGGCUCACUGGUCCGGUACUGACGCUGAGGUGCGAAAGCGUGGGGAGCAAACAGG